UACAGAGGGUGCGAGCGUUGUCCGGAAUCACUGGGCGUAAAGGGCGCGUAGGCGGCUUGAUAAGCGUGCGGUGAAAGCCCGGGGCUCAACUCCGGGUCGGCCGUGCGAACUGGGGGACUGGAGCUUGUCAGAGGCAGGCGGAAUUCCGGGUGUAGCGGUGGAAUGCGUAGAGAUCCGGAAGAACACCGGUGGCGAAGGCGGCCUGCUGGGACAGUGCUGACGCUGAGGCGCGACAGCGUGGGGAGCAAACAGG
rnacentral:rRNA from 1 species